rnacentral:rRNA from 1 species
AUACGUAGGUGACAAGCGUUAUCCGGAUUUACUGGGUGUAAAGGGCGUGUAGGCGGUUUGGCAAGUCAGAAGUGAAAUUCCCGGGCUUAACUUGGGCGCUGCUUCUGAAACUGCUUAACUUGAGUGCUGGAGAGGAUAGUGGAAUUCCUAGUGUAGCGGUAAAAUGCGCAGAUAUUAGGAGGAACACCGGUGGCGAAGGCGGAUAACUGGACAGUAACUGACGCUGAGGCGCGAAAGCACGGGGAGCAAACAGGAUUAGAUACCCUGGUAGUCCGUGCCGUAAACGAUGAAUACUAGGUGUAGGGGGUAUCGACUCCCUCUGUGCCGCAGUUAAAACAUUAAGUAUUCCACCUGGGGAGUACGGCCGCAAGGUUGAAACUCAAAUGAAUUGACGGGG